GGGGUUAUAGCUCAGUUGGUAGAGCGCUUGCAUGGCAUGCAAGAGGUCUCGGGUUCAACUCCCGAUAACUCCACCA
rnacentral:tRNA from 1 species